CGCACUGCUUCCGGUACGGAGGGGUUGAGAGAUUCCCGCCUCCAGUCGCUCCCUCAGUGGGGGCCGCUCCUCAGCGCCCGCCCCAUACGGGUGCUGUGCCACGUAUUACCCGCUUUGCGCAUGGACAGAUUCGUGGUUAAACGUUCUGCUGAGGAACCUGGGGGUGAUGGCAAGAGGCCCCGGUUAGAGGAGGCGGUGGGCGGCCUGCCCCAUCCCUCACAGCCCAGUCGGCAGAUCCGCGCCCAAGGCCUGAGCCUCGAGUACCGCCUCCUCUUCGGCCGGGCCGAGGCUGACGAGAUCUUCCAGCAGCUGGAAAAGGAGGUGGAGUACUUCGAAGGUGAACAGACAAAGUUGCGUGUGUUUGGCAAAUGGCAUAACAUCCCCAGGAAGCAGGUAACCUACGGAGACCCCGAGUUAACGUACACUUACUCAGGUGUCACCUUUUCUCCUAAGCCGUGGAUCCCAGUUCUCAACCACAUCAGAGAUCGCCUUGUUUUGGAAACGGGACACGCUUUUAAUUUUGUUGUUAUUAACAGGUAUAAAGACGGUGAGGACCACAUAGGUGAACAUCGAGAUGAUGAGAAGGAGCUGAUUCCACGCAGCCCUAUUGCAUCAGUGUCCUUUGGAGCCUGCAGAGACUUCGUUUUCAGGCACUGUGAUUCCAGAGGGAAGAAUGCAACGCGGCACAUUAAGCCCAUCAUACUGCAGCUAGCCCAUGGCAGCCUGCUGAUGAUAAAAUACCCCACUAAUGUGUACUGGUACCACAGCGUGCCCAUCCGCAAGAGAGUGCUUGCUCCAAGAAUCAACCUGACAUUUCGGAAAAUGAUGGUUGUUGACAAAAAAGCGAGAUAGCAAUGAAGCACCUGGACCAUAGACCCUGAAUACUGAAGUUUUCCUCCUCGAUAUAGCUGUCAGUUCCUCAAUCAAGCUGUGUUUGAUGAUCCAAGGCAUUAAAGUAGAAGAUAGCGUGCUUGGGAAUCCAUUCUGAAAGCCGUUCCCAUCCGUGCUCCAUCCUACUGAAAUGAGGAAAGAGUGUCCAAAGUGUGCACCAGGUCUUAAGGAAUCAAGCAAUGGAUGGAAGAAAAAACAUACCUCUGGUUCGGCAGCUAAUUUGCUUUUGGGUUAUUUCUGGCUGCUGCAGAGGAAGAUAAAAGAUGUCAUCAGCCCCACCUUAGAGAAGCUUACAUAUUAAAUAUAUAUUUCAUCCCUGAUUUCAGAACAAAGGUAUGAGUUUAAGUGUCCUUGUGAUUGAAGAAAGCCAAAAACCUGGUGCAGAACAAAGUUCUAAGUGACAAAUAGAGCAGUUCUAAUACAAUGAACAGUUAACCUGUCGAAUUCUGUGCCUGAUAGCACUGAAAUAAAAGCUCAACAAGUU